GCCCGUCUAACUCAGUCGGUAGAGCGCAAGGCUCUUAACCUUGUGGUCCUGGGUUCAAGUCCCAGGGUGGGCG
rfam:Ipomoea nil DNA, scaffold: scaffold3056, cultivar: Tokyo-kokei standard.